CCUACGGGUGGCAGCAGUGGGGAAUAUUGGGCAAUGGGCGCAAGCCUGACCCAGCAACGCCGCGUGAAGGAAGAAGGCUUUCGGGUUGUAAACUUCUGUUCUGGGGGACGAACAAAUGACGGUACCCCAGGAAUAAGCCACGGCUAACUACGUGCCAGCAGCCGCGGUAAUACGUAGGUGGCAAGCGUUAUCCGGAAUUAUUGGGUGGAAAGGGCGGGUAGGCGGGAAUGCAAGUCAGAUGUGAAAACUAUGGGCUCAACCCAUAGCCUGCAUUUGAAACUGUAUAUCUUGAGUGUUGGAGAGGCAAUCGGAAUUCCGUGUGUAGCGGUGAAAUGCGUAGAUAUACGGAGGAACACCAGUGGCGAAGGCGGAUUGCUGGACAGUAACUGACGCUGAGGCGCGAAAGCGUGGGGAGCAAACAGGAUUAGAUACCCGUGUAGUC
rnacentral:rRNA from 1 species